GUGGGGAAUCUUGCACAAUGGGGGAAACCCUGAUGCAGCGACGCCGCGUGAGCGAUGAAGCCCUUCGGGGUGUAAAGCUCUUUCGGCAGGGAAGAUGAUGACGGUACCUGCAGAAGCAGCUGCGGCUAACUACGUGCCAGCAGCCGCGGUAAUACGUAGGCAGCGAGCGUUGUUCGGAGUUACUGGGCGUAAAGGGUGUGUAGGCGGUUUUCCAAGUUUGGUGUGAAAUCUCCCGGCUCAACUGGGAGGGUGCGCCGAAAACUGGGAGACUAGAGUGCGGGAUGGGAGAGUGGAAUUCCUGGUGUAGCGGUGAAAUGCGUAGAUAUCAGGAGGAACACCGGUGGUGUAAACGGCUCUCUGGACCGCAACUGACGCUGAGACACGAAAGCGUGGGGAGCAAACAGGAUUAGAUACCCUUGUAGUCC
rnacentral:rRNA from 1 species